UAAUACGGGAGGCAGCAGUGGGGAAUAUUGCACAAUGGGCGCAAGCCUGAUGCAGCCAUGCCGCGUGUAUGAAGAAGGCCUUCGGGUUGUAAAGUACUUUCAGCAGUGAGGAAGGGGUGUCCGUUAAUAGCGUGCAUCUUUGACGUUAGCUGCAGAAGAAGCACCGGCUAACUCCGUGCCAGCAGCCGCGGUAAUACGGAGGGUGCGAGCGUUAAUCGGAAUUACUGGGCGUAAAGCGCAUGCAGGUGGUUUGUUAAGUCAGAUGUGAAAGCCCGGGGCUCAACCUCGGAAUAGCAUUUGAAACUGGCAGACUAGAGUACUGUAGAGGGGGGUAGAAUUUCAGGUGUAGCGGUGAAAUGCGUAGAGAUCUGAAGGAAUACCGGUGGCGAAGGCGGCCCCCUGGACAGAUACUGACACUCAGAUGCGAAAGCGUGGGGAGCAAACAGGAUUAAAUCCCCUGGUAGUCCACGCCCUAAACAAUGUCUACUUGGAGGUUGUGGCCUUGAACCGUGGCUUUCGGAGCUA
rnacentral:rRNA from 1 species